UACGUAGGGACCGAGCGUUGUCCGGAAUCAUUGGGCGUAAAGAGCGUGUAGGCGGCUUGUUAAGUCUUGCGUGAAAUCUCGGGGCUCAACCCCGAGCGGUCGUGAGAAACUGGCAGGCUAGAGUGCGGGAGAGGAGAGUGGAAUUCCUGGUGUAGCGGUGAAAUGCGCAGAUAUCGGGAGGAACACCGGUGGCGAAGGCGGUUCUCUGGGCCUUACCUGACGCUGAGGAGCGAAAGCGUGGGGAGCGAACAGG
rnacentral:rRNA from 1 species